rnacentral:pre_miRNA from 1 species
AGGAGGAACAACACUACUGGCGGGGCCAGCUCUGGAGCCCUGAUUCAGCUCCUGCAGUAACUCUGGAGCUCUCUGUCUGCAGGGCUUGGAUGCUCCGGGGCAGG